CGGAGGUGGCGAGCGUUACUCGGAAUCAUUGGGUGUAAAGGGCAGGUAGGCGGUCUGUUAAGUGAGGGGUGAAUCUCCCGGCUCAAUCGGGAAACUGCCUUUCAAACUGGCAGACUUGAGUGUGAUAGGGGGAAGCGGAAUUAGCAGUGUAAGGGUGAAAUCUGUAGAUAUUGCUAAGAACACCAGCGGCGAAGGCGGCUUCCUGGAUCACAACUGACGCUGAUCUGCGAAAGCUAGGGGAGCAAACAGAAUUAGAUACUCUGGUAGUCCUAGCUGUAAACGAUGAGUACUAGGUGUUGGACCGUAAGGUUCAGUGCCGCAGCUAACGCAUUAAGUACUCCACCUGAGGACUACGACCGCAAGGUUA
rnacentral:rRNA from 1 species